GACGUCAUCAAUGGCGACCCUGAGGACCCGAUCGGCUUUUUAAUGGAGAACAACGGGAUCUGAAAUAACAGAGGAAUUUGACAUGUGCUACCACAAACCAAGGCAAGCUGGAACCACCAGAAGCUGCAAGAGCCAACGGCAGACUCUGUUCUCUGAGCCUUCAGAGGGAGCGAGACCUGCGGAUACAUUGAUUGGGAUUUCCAGACUCCAGAACUGAUGUUUCCUUUGAGCCCUGGAAGGGUAAGAACCAAUCCUUACUUUCCAUGUGCUGUGCACGAUGCUGGAAUGAUUUAUGGGAGAUCUCCUUGGGCAAAUGUUCUCAACUCAUAUUUGACACUGGAGGAGCAGUUUCCCAUUGACUCCAGGGGAAAAGGGACAUGUCAGAGCAGGGCAACACGGAUGCUGGACCAAGGGUGGUCUGAAGUCUGAAGGCGUUUGCCUUCUGGGAAAAGCGAGGGCACUGCAGGGAGGACUGUGGGAGGCAUUUUCAGUCUGUAGAACUGCAUGUACAUCAUUGUUGCCAUAGAAACCCGACGUCAUCAUGGAAGCCCUGCUGAGUUUUCAAUGCAUCAAUGCAGACCUAUGUGAUCAGAUUAAAAGAACUGGGGCCCACCUCUAGGACUGGGAGGUCUUGAGAUGCUGAGAGAUGAGGGACCCUCCAGCCCCAGGGAGUAUGGUGUCCUGCUCCACGGUGUCCAGAAGCUUUUGUGGCACAGGAGGAUAAUACCAGGAAGAAAGCACUGAGUCAAGCAUCCCCCUCUUUGUAGUGGGGGUAAGAAUGUUCACCCACAGGAUCACUGGGACCUUCAGUAAUUACCCACACAUAUGUAGCAAAACCAUAGCCCCGUGGUUAUUAUGGGAUCAUCAGUGUCUGUAUAAAUUCACAUCACUUUGUUCUCUCAUUCCUCUCUCCUCAUCCCCCCUCGCACUUUCCUUCUUACCUCAUUGCCUACUCUUUUUGUGCCAGUACUAGGACUUGAACUCUCUACCGCUUGAGCCUUACUCCCACUUCCUGAUUCUUGGUGGUUAAUUGGAAAUAAGAAUCUCAGGUCUUAAAUGCUAAAUUACUAGGACCGAGGGCUCUUAACAGAGCUUGCUAACUAAUACUCUCCCUUGAAAUGGCUUUUUUAAAAAAGAUAAAGAAAAGAAUAAAAUGAAAAAAGCAGGCACUCUGUAGAGAAGAAACACUAAGUUGAGAAGUUAUCUGAGAAAAAGCAAGCACUGAAGCCCAUCUGUUAUCCCUAUGCACAGAGAUAUCUCCAUAUUUUAGAUAAUAAGCAUUCAUCUUGGCUACAUAAAACCUUUGCUGAAGGGUUGGGGCAUUCUAGUGGAUCAAGUGUUAUUCCCCAGCUACUCUGGAGGCUGAGUUCUGGUGGUCACGGUUGAAAGCCAGAAAUGGGAACAAAGUCCCUUGUGAAACUUAUCUCUACUAAACUACUAAUUAAAGCUGUAAGUGGAGCUGUGCCU